rnacentral:rRNA from 1 species
CUCCCUCUUUCUUCUUGCUUAACACAUGCAAGUCGAACGGAAAGGCCCUGCUUUUGUGGGGUGCUCGAGUGGCGAACGGGUGAGUAACACGUGAGUAACCUGCCCUUGACUUUGGGAUAACUUCAGGAAACUGGGGCUAAUACCGGAUAGGAGCUCCUGCUGCAUGGUGGGGGUUGGAAAGUUUCGGCGGUUGGGGAUGGACUCGCGGCUUAUCAGCUUGUUGGUGGGGUAGUGGCUUACCAAGGCUUUGACGGGUAGCCGGCCUGAGAGGGUGACCGGCCACAUUGGGACUGAGAUACGGCCCAGACUCCUACGGGAGGCAGCAGUGGGGAAUAUUGCACAAUGGGCGGAAGCCUGAUGCAGCAACGCCGCGUGCGGGAUGACGGCCUUCGGGUUGUAAACCGCUUUCGCCUGUGACGAAGCGUGAGUGACGGUAAUGGGUAAAGAAGCACCGGCUAACUACGUG